rnacentral:lncRNA from 1 species
AUAAACUACAUCAUUUUUAGUAUUAUCGUAAUAUUAUUUUAUAUUUCUGUCAUUAUUAAAUCCAUAGCCAAAAACUCAAAGUUCGAUACUAAUUAAAUUAUGCCGGCACUAAACAAUGUUUCUGGCUCCGCCCCUACUUGUCGUGAAAAAAUCAUCAAGAAGAGAAGAAAAACAUAACAGUGCAAAGUACCUAUUGAAAAUACUUAACUCGUGGCCACGUCUACUAGCCCAUUUUUCGGUCAAACCAAGCAUCGAUUGAGUGAAAAGAGACCAUAUCCUUGUUCCAAACGACGAGGUGUACCUUUCUAAUUGGCGUGUGCAGCAGGUGGAGCAUAAAGAACCCAAUGCAUAAAUGAUGCGCAGUGACGGUGGGGCGACGUGAGAGCGCUUGAGCACUGUUCCAAUGAUGGUCUUCAAUGGCAGUUUGUUCUUGGUUGUGCUAAGGACCUGUUGGCGUAUUACUUUUCUGUUUCUGGCAAUAUAAUGCUUUUGGACACUUUUGCUCCUAGUCGUUCGAUCAUCAAGUGUUGUUGAUGCAUUGUUGCAGUUGUUGAAUGCUUUAGGGUGAAUAGUAGUGGCCCUAAAGUUGUAAAGUUCGCA